rnacentral:rRNA from 1 species
GACGAACGCUGGCGGCGUGCUUAACACAUGCAAGUCGAACGGAAAGGCCCUGCUUUUGUGGGGUGCUCGAGUGGCGAACGGGUGAGUAACACGUGAGUAACCUGCCCUUGACUGUGGGAUAACUUCAGGAAACUGGGGCGAAUACCGGAUAGGAGCUCCUGCUGCAUGUGGGGGGUUGGAAAGUGUCGGCGGUGGGGGAUGGACUCGCGGCUUAUGAGCUAGUUGGUGGGGUAGUGGCUUACGAGGGCUUCGACGGGUAGCCGGCCUGAGAGGGUGACCGGCGACAUUGGGACUGAGGUACGGCGCAGAAUGGUACGGGAGGCAGUAGUGGGGAAUCUUGCACAGUGGGCGGAAGUGUGAUGCAGCAACGCCGCGUGCGGAAUGACGGCUUUCUAGUUAUGAACAGCUUUGGCCUGUGAUGAAGCCGGAUUGACGGUAAUGGGUAAAAAAGCCCCGGCUAACUACGUG